rnacentral:lncRNA from 10 species
GUGGAGAGGAACUGUACUCAAGGAGCUCUGCUUAAGGAGUUUUACCCGAGGAGCCUCAUCUGCACCUGGACUUCAAGCUGAUGCUGUAAAGAGGGGAGACUUUUGGUGACUUUGGGAAGAAGUCUGUUUAUUUCUAUAUUCAAUGAAGUGGUGUCUGUGCAUUCAAGAAAUAAAAUGGUUUGUAACUUCUUAACCUUUUUUUCUAUUGAAUUAAGUACAACAUUAAACCAUUAAAAUGACCUUAAGAAAAUCAAUAUUGUCCCCAGGCUCAAGACCACUCACUCCACAGCUUAAUUGGUCCUUAGCUUUCAGCGUUUGACUCUAGACUUGUACUCUCCAACACAGUAGUCACUAGUUGCAAAUGGCUAAUGGCCACUUGAAAUCUGCUAGGUAAAACUGAAAUGUGCUAUAAGUGCAAAUAAGUGUGGAUUUUGAAGGUUUGGUUAAAAAAAGGAAUGCAAACUAUCUCAACAAUUUUUAUAUUGACUACAUGUAAAAUGAUAAUGAUUCUGACAU